CCCAAGCCUACAGAGGACAUUUAUGCUUCUACAGAUGCUGAUCUUCAGGGAAAUGAAACACCACGGAGAGAAAAACUCAAGAGUAGACAUGAGUAGACAUGUCUGAGUGGUGUGCAGAACCAGCCCUACCCCUUACCUGAGCAUUGUGGGAUAGAUGGUCUUGGAAGCAUGAGACAGGAGAGAUGACUUGGCCCCUAGCCAGCUCCAGUAUGCGGGAGAAAAGCCUAGCACAUUGCUGGAGUUUCAGGCAGAAGAAAGCUGGCCCUGGGGUCAUGAGAGCAAAAGUGUUGUCCUUGACCUUCACCUGCUGUAGCACCCAUAAAGACAGGCCCUGUACCUUGCUGUGAGGAGCUGUCCCUGGAUGUGGGUGAGCUGCCCUGCCUCUUGUCUUCUGUGAGGUGUGGAGAUCUUGUGGUUCAACCUGUCUGCAAAAAUUAUGUUCUCAAGCAACAGGGAGAGAAAACGAAAUGCACAUGUCACUUUGCCAGAUGACAUGUGCCUUAGAAUAUUGACAUCACAAUGGUUCUUCAGCCUGACAACUACAGAAUCCUCAGACUUCAGUAGUUUUCUAGCCACUGUAGUCACCAGUUUGGUGUCUAGAGGCAGGAAGGCAAACGAAAAUUUCACAUUGUUUGAUAAGUUCUUCAUCCCAGGCUCUACUAAAAAGGUGACAUAAGGGAAGAGUGUCAUCCCCAGAGAACAGAAAGAGCAUCCUCUGAUGAAACCACAGACACAUCCUUCAUAGCUAAUGGGUAUCUGCCAUCAGAAGGCUUGUGAUCUAUGCAUUGAGAUAGGCAGAUAUCACACCAUUUAAAACACACACUCUAUUUACUUUCCUACUUUUUAAUUAUAAAAUCAAUAGAGUGUUAAUGAUUAGAGCAUUAGCCUGCUCGCUGGGAGUUCCAGAACUUCUCUUUUUGAGGCAUAAAUUUCCAAUGAAAUGCAACAGUAUUAAUACUGUAUUAACUCUGAACUUCCAGUAGUUGUUUGGAGCCACUAAACCAUAUCUGAAGAAUCCCAGGAUUAGGGUGAAGGAUGAGUGAUCGUCUGUAAAAACGCUGUCUACGGAACACAGUGGUAAAAUGCCAGGGAAUCUUCUAGACACUCCAGUGGUCCAGACCCCAGUGAUGAGAAGACAGCUUUCGAUAGACUGGAAGGAAAUCAAAAGAAGAGAUGUACAAUUACAAAAACUUUUCAAUUCCAACAUGUAAAAUAUGCUUGACAAUAAAAUAAUAUAACAUGCCAGAAAGCUACUAGCUAGCUUCUUUAAAUGUACCCCAAGGAAGGCUCCCUGACACUUUGGGAAAGGGGACUUCUAAGCAUGGGAGAAUGUGAGGAUCUAAUGUUCUAGACAAUGCAAACAGCUAUUGCAGAGGUCUUAAGCCUAGACUAAACCUGGCUACCAUAUAUAAGGCCAACUAUUUCAAAUUAGACAAAUACUUUAAAAGGACUUUGAAAAAACGAUAUUGGUAUACUACAUAAUGAUUGAAAUUCCAAGCCAGCCAUAGCUCCUUGGAGGUCACAUCGCUGCAAACACUUGCAGAAUAAACAUGCACAGAGAAUGUGAGUUUGCCUGCUCUGUUAGCCAGGAAUUAGUUUUGGCUGUCAACCAUGAAUAAAAGACCACCUCUAACUAGCUUGGCUUCCUUUCUUGCUAUCUGUCAUACUGUCAACUUGGCAUCCUGGAUGCAUAUGCUAAAAAAAAAUGGAGAUCUUAAUCACUGAAAUCCACCCGUCCAUCCACUCCCACCAGGUGUCUGUCCUUGGCCAGGGAUCCAAGAGAACUAGAGUCAUCACCGAACAUACCUCCUCCCUCCAUGAGGUGUGCACUCUUUCUUUUGUCAAAGUAAGCUGUUGGUGGCUAGCACCAUGGGAGGUAUUUUGUUGAUGAAGAAAAAUGCACAUAACUUGAUUUAAAAGUCAGCAUUAAAUGAAUGCAGAGGUCUUAACUGAGGCUAUUAGGUAGUCUAUAAAAUUUUUUUCAAGUUUGAAUCUGCCUAGAAAAAGAACUCCAGACACAAGGUUUGUUUGCCAGUUACGUUUCAAAGUCACGCACACACAUUUCUCUAUCUCACUGACAUAGGUUUAGAAGUAGAGAAAAUUGUGUUUCUAUGUAAAUCCCCUAAUUAUGCAAAUGCCUUUUAAUUAAUUAACUAAUUACUUAAAUCGUGAUCUCCAC
rnacentral:sRNA from 1 species